AGGCACGUUGGACAGGCAAUCUGCUUCUCUUUAAAGAGCACGGAUGUCUCCCCAGCAUGCCACAUGAAUGAAAUGAGAACUUUGCAGGGCUGCGCACCUCUUGGUUAAGGUUCUGCAGUAGUAUAUUUCUUCCACAAUA
rfam:Tupaia chinensis contig19279, whole genome shotgun sequence.